rnacentral:lncRNA from 1 species
GGCCUAGGGUAGACAAUAACAUCUCAUCGUGCAACUAGGUAAGUAGGUCUCUUGUCCAUUGUUGUCAUGAUUUAUGGUUUAUAAGAGCUACCACUUGUAGAUUUGUCUUUAUAUGCAUUGGUCGGCCGAUACAUUUUGUACAUCAUCGCAAAUAUACAUGCCAUGUAUAUUCAAGACCCUUUAUAUACAUCACAUUCAUCAGAGAUUAAAACUCUAAGGCAUGCAGUGAAAUUACUGAGAUUUGUGAGGGACUUGAACUACGCACUCGAAAUAGCGCAACCCUGACUGGUAUUCCAACGAGCAAGAAUAUGUAAAAUUAUAUAUUUUAUUAUCGUAACAUUCAAGAUGCAAACAUUUAGUUUUAUUCUCACUAUAUUCAAGAUAACGUUAAGUUAUUCAAUUGCAGGGAUGUGUGAUUAUUUUGAUUUUGAUUUUAACUCCCUGGAAUGGUAAAGAAUUGGUUCGUCCGGUUCGCACAGUGACUAUUCUUUGUUGCACAUUUUUAGACCUUCCAUAUGAAAUAUUUGUGCUAACUACAUAUAUUACUUGUGCAUGAUGAUUAUGAGUUGGGGACGAAAUUUGUAUUAUACUUGCUCAAGCAUAGUGCGAAUGAAGCUAAAGAUAACAUUCUCGAUAUUGUACGAGAAUAUCUUAAGCGCAUCAAGUAAAUCUUAAUUCGCAAUAGAUUAUUAGUUGGAUUAUCGCUCUCUAUGUAUACAUCGUCAAAGAACCUUUUUUAUCAACUUACAUUGCUAGUGAAGUGGAUCUCAAUUAUUACCCAAUUGUUAUUGGCUAUCAUUUCUUUACAUGUAAAAAUUAACAUGCAUUAUUUUUAUAUAUAACACCAUUAAAAUAUUUCAAAUGGCCGUGGCAACGCACCAACAAAAUUUAAAUUUGACUUUUCUUCAUCCACAAUGAACCGGCUUAGCUGGCGGUUCGACGGUGAACCAGUCAAUCAACCGAUCACUCAGGAGUCCUGCAACUUUGAACUACACCUACAAUGUUUUAGUUGCUCAUGUACCACCUCUUGGCAGAAGCUGAAAAGCGUGAACAGUAUUAUAGCGUAUCUGUUUCAGUCUGGCAUACAACUGCAUGAUAUUGCUUCAAAGUGUUACUCUGCUCUUUGCAUCUCGCUGGUCAGUAUUCUCGAUAGGAUGGGCGAAUAGCCGAAUACUAUAAUCUUCUUAGGUAUCUUUAUAUACAAACUAAUGGUCGAUAGGAUGGGCGAAUAGCUGAAUCCUAUAAUCUUCUUAGGUAUCUUUAUAUACAAACUAAUGGUCGAUAGGAUGGGCGAAUAGCCGAAUACUAUAAUCUUCUUAGGUAUCUUUAUAUACAAACUAAUGGUCAAAGUUAUAUCUUGAAGACCAUCAAUGUCCAAAAGAUCACUUAUUUGUGAACUGGAGGGAGUAGUAUCCUUUGUAGGUUUAUCAACAAAAGCUCGAUUAAGAGGCAACUGCCCCUGCAAAUGGUUAAGAGGCUCACUAGACCAUUAGUUCUGAUUUUACUUUUGUUUGGUGCAUACACGAUAUAUCUUUGGUGGAAUCUAAGGAAGUGGUUGAGUAGUUGUUACUAUUUUGAUGGAAAGCUCGGUUCCUUUGUUUCUAUUCAAGAUGUGAUUUUUUUACAUGCAUCCACAGUACCUUUGGAAAAACGUUGCACAAAACCGCGCUCCAGGUGUACAGUUGGCAAAAAAAGAUGGAAGGUGAAAAAGCUGUGGGUCUAAACUCUUCACUCUUCAGGAGCUGCACACGGCAAAUUGCUGGUUAAGUCCGCUGAGUGAUUGGACCAUUCUACUUGGGUGGUGGCAAGCUAUCACUAUGGAACUGAGGAGUGCCCUCUCAACAUCCUUUGAAGCUUCUCUCCUAACCAAACACAUCACAUACUCCAUCACCGCUGUAUCACAAGGCAGUGUGAUCCUCCCAUCAUUUGUGAACCCAAACUCCUCCUGAGACAUCCUCAAGAGUUCCUGGAAGACUCUUGCGCGGAGGUACACCAAGGGGAUCUUGUACCGCCUGCCGUCGAAAGAGUAGACAACACAGUGGCCCUUGUCUGCAACUGUACUGCAUGAUGGGUGUAUCUCCUUGCCCACUAUAGUUGCCCUUCUUCGCCCGAUAGCACCCACUGCCUGCCACUUCUUGGAAAGUUGAGCUAGCUUCUUGGAGCUGAUCGUGGUCGCUUGUUUUGUUUUUUUACCAAGAUGGGUUGUGACUCUGAGAAGAAAUGGUCAGAGGAAAAAGUGGGUCUGUGUGUGGUGAUGGUUUGUGCCAUGAGCAUGUAUUUACAGGAACCGGGUGUGAUGGGAGGGUAUGCAUCUUUGGUUCCACAACCAUCAAAGAUAGCAAGUUGUCCAGGGACAAGGCAUUUGAACUCCCUUGUUGAGAUGUUGCUAUAUGUUUCCGCAAGAUUUAGUGCACUGGACCAUUAUCGUUACAUGGUGGGACAUCUUUACUGGCUUGGUAUGUAGCUGGCCAUAUCUGUGGGCUGAGAGUAUUUUGACACAGAAGUAAAAAAAAUUCCAGGCGCCAUUGUAGAAUUUUCUAGAUCUGACAUAACAAGCUUACUAGCAAAAUAUCCUUUCUACGGACAAAGAAUUUAUAAUCGAUCAUAUAGGGAUUUUUCUUGAAGGGUGGGAAAGAGAUGUGCGAGGUGUGGAUGGACGGACCAUCACGGCCACCAAUUCCCAAAAUAAGGUUUCUUGGUUACAUGGCUUCAGAUGCUUUACACAUUUGAGCUGUCAAGACAAAUUAGAACAUUACUCGAGGCCUCUUUAGGGGGUCUUAUGGCUGACCUCCGAAGUUCUUUUUCUUUUGAAGAAUCACCGCGAGAGAGUGGGGAGGGGGCUCCACGAAAAAAACCUCCCCCUUCCCCUCCCGCAGGCGAUAGGGAGGGCCACCCCAGCGCCGCCGGUCUCUACCUCUCCGCCCACCUCCUCCCCUCGCCUUCGCCGGGCAAAGCCCGGUCGGCGUCGGUGGCGGCGGAGCGUUCUCUCCCCUCGGUUGGCGGAGGUUGGCGCGGGCGGGCGUCCUCCGGCUGGUGGCCGCGCGCGACAGCGGUGGGGGCUCGUGCGUGUUCCAUUCCCGUGGCUGCGUCUGGAUGUGGUGUGGAGGGCUGUGCGGGGCCCCUCUAGAGUGGCCGUGGUGGCCGGAUUUGGUUUGUCCAGAUCUGGCCGUCGGCUCCUUGGGGGGCGCGGAGCUUCCCUUUGGUCAUGGUGGCGGCCCCUGGAUGGGAUUUCCCUCCGGUGACGGGUACUGAUGUCGAGCUAGGAGUAGAUGGUGUGUCGUCACUCUUCCUACCGUGGUUGAGUGCGUUGUGAUGUGAGCGGUGCACGCUAUCUCGCGACAGGGAUGCCGGGGCGGCGGCCCCGGAUGGUGGUUCGCAUGGUGGCGGCUUUCCUCCUGGGUUGUGUGGGCAACAGGAGGUGUUGCGACGGGUAGCUCGGACGUGCCCUCUCUCUCUCGGAGGGGCGGCGUCCUGAUCCGGAUCUGGGGACCUGACAUUGUCGCGUUCCUCAUGGCGGCCUCGUGGUGGCACAGAUGAGUUGCCGAGCGAAAACUCCAUGCCUUGGCGCCGAUGACGGCGACACCCGUUGGUGCCGCGCUCUUCUUGAAGACGUUGUUGUGGUUCUUCUCUCCGUGUCAGGGCUCCGGGUGAAGAUCUUUGUCCGUGUGGACUCGGCAGCGGCGACGCUCUGCGCCGUUCUCCCUCUUGGGGGCGUUGUCAUGGAGCUUAGGUGUGCUAGGUUGUAGCGUGGGGUGUGUUUAGUUCUCCCAGUGCUCUUUGCUGGUAGCAUAGUCGCGUGCGUUCUGUGUCUGCCGGUUAUCUCAGGAUUGGCUUUGUAAGAGGGCUACCUCACCAUCUUGUAUCGUUCGGCCAUGUACUUCUUCGGGUGUUGCUUUAUAUAUAAAGCGGGGCUUUCGCCUGUUUCGAGAGGGGGAUCCACCACCUGAAUAUAUUAUUCAAAGUUGCCAGGACAGAGUUUGGCACAAGCACGUGUAAAUGUGAAGAAAGGCAUAGACGCCAAGCAUUAGUGUCAUCCUUAUGACCGGCCUUGGUGAACCAAUGAGACCGGUUGGUGAAGUCGUCGAGGAUGUUCCUGACUGUGAUUUACAUGAUGGAAAACCAUGGCAUUACGGGCGUCCCAGAUCUUUCAUAGGAUAGCACGAACCGAGGACCUAUGAAGUUAUGUUUAAACCAUUCGAAGCAAUAUGUUCUUGGUGUGCCUUCUUGUUCUUAAGCCCUAUUAGGAGGGAAUGCAUUGUGUUAUCAGGUCCAGGCUUCAGUAUUUGCAAUCAUAUUUUAUGGAUGAGGUGAGGACAUUUAUCAGGGCUUCUGAAUCAAUUGUAUAGCUAGUAGGUGAACAAAUGGUCCAUGACUCCCGUGUGUCAUCAAUGACACUAGUUGGCAACUGGCAGGUAAGAAGGCCAUGAGUUUGCUCAUGCAGUGUUGGCUAUAAUGGAGGCAAUAUGAUUAGUGCGGUUGCUACAUACAUUUGUGGUCCUGGCGGAGGCCAUAGCUGUGAAUAAGUGGUUAGAUGAUUGGAUACGCACUGCACAAGUGGGUAACUUAGGAUGUUUCAUGAUGCCUUCCUUAGCUGAUAGGCCUCACUUCUCUUUUGAAAAGUAUGAAGCUCACUUCAUGGGCUUCGAAGUAGUACUAGCAAAUAGAAAUACUGAGUAUUGAGUUGUGUAGUGGCUAAGAGAUAUUACUACAACAUGUAGGCCCCAGAUUCAUAUGAGGCCUACCGAAGCACAUCCUUUGUUAAUGGUGUAUAGAGGAUUGGGUCUGCUAGUUGGGUACAUUACUUAAAAAAAGACAUUAAUCCGGUUAGGAAGGUUGUUGGUUGUUCAGGCAACUUGCUCAACAAUUUCAUACGGCCAUUGCACCUUGUGGUCUGAUUAUUUUGAUAUUUUCCAGCAUCUCACAUGCCAUCCAGUUCUUAGUAUCUUCAUGUGAUUCCUAGUUGGCUUCUGUGGUGGCCUCUCUAAUACAGUCCAGAAACUACACUAGCAGUAGUAGCACUAGAUAUUGUUUCAAUGGGCUAAACUUGAUUCUUUCUUCUUCUAAUCACAAUGUGAUUAUUUUUACAUGCAUCCAUCUGUACAUCCACAGUACGGCACCCUUGGAAAAACGUUGCACAAAAGGUGUGCUCCAAAAGUACAACCGGGAAAAAAGAUGGAACAUAAAAACAGGAAGAAAAAUCUGGAGAUGUUCACUCUUCAGGAGCUGCGCACAGCAAAUUGCUGGUGAAGUCCAGUGGCUGCUUGCAUCAUUCUGCUUGGAUGGUGGCAAGUCGUUAUAAUGGAGUUGAGAAGCGCCCUCUCAACAUCUUCAGAGGCCUCUCUCCUGAGCAAACACAUUACAUACUCCAUCAUUGUCGUAUCACAUGGCAGUGUGAUCCUCCCCUCACUUGUGAACCCAAACUCUUCCUGCGACAUCCUCAGGAGCUCCCCGAAGAUCAUCGUGUUGAGGCACGCUAUGGGGAUCUCGAAGCGCCUCCCGUCGGAGGAGUAGACAACGAAGUGGCCCUUGCCUGCAACUGAGCUGGAGGAUGGGUGCACAUCCUUGUCCGUUGUUGUGACCCUUCUUCGCCCGAUGGCACUGAUUCCUUGCCACUUCUUGGAAAGUUGAGCUAGUUUCUUGGAGCUCAUCAUGAUCACUUGUUUUGAUUUUGAAGAUGGAAUGUGUCUCUGAGAAGAAAUGAUCAGAGAAAAAAGGUCAGCUUGUGUGUGGCCAUGGUUUGUGCCAUGAUCAUGUAUUUAUAGGGCGCGUGUGUCAUGGUAGGGUCUGAAUCUUGUACAACUAUCACAAAGACCAAGUGUUCCAGAGACAACGCCAUGAUCUCCCUUGGUGUGAUGUUGCUAUCUGUGGUUGCAACUUGCAAGAUUUGUUGCCCAGGACCAUUUUUCUCACAUGGUGGAGCCAUCUUUGCUGGCUAAGUGCAUAAUUCAUCAUCACAGCUGGUUGAGCUUUAACAUGCGCACACAGCGGUACAAAGUUUUGGGUACAGCCCUUUAACUAGCUUGAUUUGAGAUAAUGAAUAUAUUUACUGACAUAUUGGCCCUUUUAUAUGCUAUUAUUUAGUUUUUGCGUGCCUGAUUAAUUUUGCAUUGCGCAUGUUCAGUGUUAUCUUAACAUGAGGUGCAUUGCAUCAUUCCGCCAUCUUACGAUUUCAGGAAAUCUUAGAUAAGUUACUCUGCUGCAUUUACUGAUUUUCCUCAUCUCCCUUUCGCUGCAAGUGUCAUGUGAUUGACUCAAGAUGACUUAACUAUCACCACAUCUUGUAGAAAGGUGGAUCAUGUAAAUGUAAUACAAUAAUCUGAGCAAACUAGAGGUUCCAUGUUCCUAUUUAAACCUUUUAAUUCAGGUUUCAGCUGAUACAAAAACUCGUAUUUCCGCUUAGAUUCUCCUAUAGGCUUGGAGUCAGGAACCUUGGGGGGUUGGCCAAGCAGUACUACUGUUAUUAGGUUAAGACUUAAAAAACACCAAUUACUUACAUACAUAAAUACAGCUAUGUUUCUACCACUAGUCUAGGGUGUUUAAAUUCCACAGGAUUUUGUCAAACUUCCCAAUGGCUCUGUAUGCAUGCAGCCCAAUCCUGUGCUUAUUACCAUACCACUAUAGGGUUUAUUGGUCACAUGGCUUCAGGUGAUACUCUUCAGGAAGGAUCAACGGUUAAGAUCUGAACAUAAGUUUAAACCUUGCCAAGUAAUUUGUCAUCGAUGUGGUUUGUUGUGCUUAAGCAUUUUUCUGUUGAGAAGCUAAAAGAAUUUGUUCCUGUUAUGGUUUAGGAGGGAACGGACUGAAGAUAAACACAUCGUAUUAUCAGAUCUAGGCUUUUCGUAUUUGGAAUGCUAUUCUAUGGAUGAAAUGAGGAUAUUCCUUGGUUGUGAAUCUAAUGUAUAUCUGGUAGGUGAACAAAUGGUCCAUGACUUACGCGUAGUAAUCAAUGACAGUAGUUGGUGAGCAAACAAGGCCAUGAGUCUAUGCAUGCAUUGUUCGCUACAAUGGAGGCAAUGUGAUUUAAAUUGGAUAGUACUGGGCCAAUUUGCAGUUGGCGCAUGCACUCGUGGUCCUUGCAGAGGUCCUAGCUGAGACGUGGUGGUUAGAUGGUUGGAUACAUGCAUACUGCAGAAGUAGGUUACUUAGGAUGUUCCGCAGGGGCUUCCUUGGAUGAUGAAGCUCAUUUUUCUUAUUUGAAACUUAUGAAGGUCAGUCACUUCAUGAGCUUCUCAGUGGUAUACUAGCAAAUAUCAGUACUGCAGCCUGUAGGCUCCAGAUUUUGUAGGAGGUUUACAGAAGCAGCACCUCUUGUUAAUUGUGUAUAAAGAAUUGGAUCUGCUGGUUUGGUACAGAUUUUUUCCGACGUUAAAUCCAGUUGGAAGGUCUUUCUUGAUUCAAGCAACUUGCUUACAAUUUCAUACAGCAUUUGGUAUUGCAACUCACUUCUUUGAUGGCAUCCAUACAUAAAAGAAUAUUGUAGACUCUAAAACAGUACUCCCUUCUUCCUAUAAUAUAAUGUUAUUACAACCUAGUAGUAACAAUAUAGUUUCUCUUCGUUUGUUUUGCCUUUUUGCCUUCGCUGUAUAGACUCUAAAACGUGUGUCUUGGCGUUACUUGUAGUACAAAAUGAUAUGUAUGUAGAUGCAUUUGGGAAUGAGAAAGAAAAAAAAAGUUGUUAGAUAUUGUUUCAAUGUGGUAAGCUUGAUCCUUGUAUUCGAAAUCACAAUGUGAUUAUUCUUACAUGCAUCCAUCUGUACAUCCACGGGACAAUUGGAAAAAAGCCGCACAGAAGUGUGCUCCAAAAGUACGUCCGGGAAAAAAAAGAUGGAAGUUGAAAAAAGAAAGAAGCCGCAAGAUCUUCAUUUUUCAGGAGCUGUGCACAGCGAAUUGCUGGUUAAGUCCGCUGUUUGGUUGCAUCACUCUGCUUGGGCGGUGGCAAGUCGUCACUAUGGAACUGAGGAGUGCCCUCUCAACAUCUUGGGAGGCCUCUCUCCUUAGCAAACACAUCACAUAUUCCAUUGUCGUUGUAUCACAAGGCAGCGUGAUCCUCCCAUCGCUUGUGAACCCAAACUCCUCCUGAGACAUCCUCAGGAGCUCCUCGAAGACUGUUGUGCGGAGGCACACCAGGGGGAUCUCGAACCGCCUCCCGUCGGAAGAGUAGACGACGAAGUGGCCCUUGCCUGCGACUGAGCUGCAUGAUGGGUGGAUAUCCUUGUCUGACGUUGCGAACCUUCGCCCGAUGGCGCCAAUGCCCUGCCACUUCUUGGAAAGUUGAGCUAGCUUCCUGGAGCUGAUCAUGGUUGCUUGUUUUGUUUCAAGGAGAUGGGCUGUGACUCUGAGAUGGAAUGAUCAGAGAAAAAAGUCGGUCUGUGUGUGUUUCUGUCGAUGGUUUGUGCCAUGAUCAUAUAUUUAUAGUGGGCAGGUCUGGUGGGAAAUCUGCAUCUUCGUUUCCACAAUUAUCAUAGAUAGCAAAUCGUCAGGGGACAAGACCAUGAACUCCCUUGGUGGGAUGUUCCUAUCUGUACGUGGUUGCAACUUUGCAGGACUAAAUGCGGGAAAGUAUCCGGUGCUCCCAGCCUUGGGGUACUCCCGGUACUCCAAUGUUAAUAAACAUUUUUUUAAUGUUUCAAAAAUUUCCGAAAAAACUGUGAAUGUACCUACAAGCUCUAAAAAUUUCAGGUCCAAACUUGAAUCACACAUUGAGAAAGAAAAAUGUGAAAUCUAGCAUGAAUAGUGUAAAGAAGAGACAAAAGCAACAUUGACACUAUUCAGAUCUGUAUCUCUCUUUUUUGUUUCUCAAUCUACAUUUCGAUUUUGGACUUAAAAUUUUUAGGUGAUGUAGUGACAUUCCUUGUGAACAUUCUCAUUUUUUCCCGGAAAUUUUUGAAACAUUUAAAAAUUCCUUUUGACACUGGAGCAUUGGGAGUACCCCAAGGCUGGGAGCACUGGAUACUUUCCCGACUAAAUGCAUAGGACCACUGUCUCUCACACAUGGUGGAGCCAUCUUUGCUAGCUUGGUACGUGAUAGUGGGUUCAGGUUUGAGAUAGCUGUACAAGAUAGUAGGACCCGUCCUUUAGUUUACUGAGAAUUGUGUUUGAAGCAACGUACCUUAUAUUAGGUAAUAAACAUAUUUACUAACUUGCUGCCCCUUCUGUGCGUUAUUUUGCAGCUUUUGUUUUUCCAGUUAUUUUUUUUACAAAAGCAUUUUAUGUUGCUUUUGCUGAUUUCCCUCCUGCCCCUUUUUGUUUCAGGUGCUAUGUGAUUGGCUCAAGAUGAUUCAGCUAUCAUCAUAUUUUCUAGAAUGGUGUGUAGUAUAGAAAUGUGCCGACAGUUAACUUGCAGCUUCGAUCUGCCCUUGGGUGAUACAAUUAACCAGUAAACCACAUUUCCCUUUGAUUGUACUAUGUUUCAGAUACACAAGAACCU